AGGUGCUUGGUACAACCAUGGA
rnacentral:miRNA from 1 species